AGGACGAACGCUGGCGGCGUGCCUAACACAUGCAAGUGGAGCGACGACCCGGGCUUCGGCCCGGUGCAAAGCCGCGAACGGGUGAGUAACACGUGGGUGAUCUGCCUCGCACUCUGGGAUAAGCCUGGGAAACUGGGUCUAAUACUGGAUACGACCAGGGACUGCAUGGUUUCUGGUGGAAAGGUUUACUGGUGCGAGAUGGGCCCGCGGCCUAUCAGCUUGUUGGUGGGGUAAUGGCCUACCAAGGCGACGACGGGUAGCCGACCUGAGAGGGUGACCGGCCACACUGGGACUGAGACACGGCCCAGACUCCUACGGGAGGCAGCAGUGGGGAAUAUUGCACAAUGGGCGAAAGCCUGAUGCAGCGACGCCGCGUGAGGGAUGACGGCCUUCGGGUUGUAACCUCUUUCGACAGGGACGAAGCGCAAGUGACGGUACCUGUAGAAGAAGCACCGGCUAACUACGCGCCAGCAGCCGC
rnacentral:rRNA from 1 species